rnacentral:snRNA from 1 species
AGCUUUGCGCAGUGGCAGUAUCGUAGCCAACGAGGUUUAUCCGAGGUGCGAUUAUUGCUAAUUGAAUUAUAUCGCAUUGAAUCUAUAGACCAGUUUGGUCCAUAGAUUGACAUCUCUACAAUUUACAAUAGA